UCUUAUCAAGAGAGGUGGAGGGAAUGGCCCUAUGAAACCCGGCAACCGUCAGCAAUGCUGAUAGGUGCUAAUUCCAUCAAAGCAAAUUAAUGCUUUGAAAGAUAAGA
rnacentral:ncRNA from 1 species